GCCCACGCACCCCAGGUGCCGUGCGGGUGCUGAGCAGGCCCCGGCUGGGAAGAUGGUGAAGUAUUUUCUGGGCCUCAGCGUGCUCCAGAUUUCCUGGAACCAAAUGUUUGCUGCCUUGUGGCAGUGGUACCCGUAUCCCUACAGCAAACAUGUCUUGACAGAAGACAGUACACUGGGAGGUGACCCCUGACCAGAAGCUCCUGUCCCGGCGACUCCUGACCAAGACCAAUGGGACUCCCGACUGGGCUGAGCGACUGUUUCAUGCCAAUGUUGCUAACUCAGUGUACAUCCUGGAGGACUCUGUUGUGGACCCACAGAAUCAGACCGUGACCACCUUCACCUGGAACAUCAACCACGCCCCACUGAUGGUGGUGGAGGAACGAUGUGUUUACUGUGUGAACUCUGACAACAGUGGCUGGACUGAAAUCUGCAGGGAAGCCUGGGUCUCCUCUAGCUUAUCUGGUGUCCUCACAGCUGGCCAGGAAUUUGGUCUUGGCUGGUUCAAAAGCAACAUGACCAAGACUAUGAAGGGUUUUGAAUACAUCUUAGCCAAGCUGCAAGGUGAGGCUCCUUCUAAAACACUCGUUAAGACCCCCAAGGAAGCCCAGGAGAAGGCAAAGGAGAGGGCACUGGCGGCUACAGAGGCGACAAGGGAAGGACCUAGCCAACGAGGCAGCCACCGAGAAGCAGCAGCAGUAG